rnacentral:rRNA from 1 species
UAGGAGAGCGUUCUGUAAGCCUGUGAAGGUGAGUUGAGAAGCUUGCUGGAGGUAUCAGAAGUGCGAAUGCUGACAUGAGUAACGACAAUGCGAGUGAAAAACUCGCACGCCGAAAGACCAAGGUUUCCUGCGCAACGUUAAUCGACGCAGGGUUAGUCGGUCCCUAAGGCGAGGCUGAAAAGCGUAGUCGAUGGAAAACAGGUUAAUAUUCCUGUACUUCCAGUUAUUGCGAUGGAGGGACGGAGAAGGUUAGGCCAGCCUGGCGUUGGUUGUCCAGGUUUAAGGUGGUAGGCUGAAAUCUUAGGCAAAUCCGGGAUUUCAAGGCCGAGAGCUGAUGACGAGUUGCCUUUAGGCGACGAAGUGGUUGAUACCAUGCUUCCAAGAAAAGCUCCUAAGCUUCAGAUAACUGGGAACCGUACCCCAAACCGACACAGGUGGUUAGGUAGAGAAUACCAAGGCGCUUGAGAGAACUCGGGUGAAGGAACUAGGCAAAAUGGCACCGUAACUUCGGGAGAAGGUGCGCCGGUGAGGGUGAAGGACUUGCUCCGUAAGCUCAUGCCGGUCGAAGAUACCAGGCCGCUGCGACUGUUUAUUAAAAACACAGCACUCUGCAAACACGAAAGUGGACGUAUAGGGUGUGACGCCUGCCCGGUGCCGGAAGGUUAAUUGAUGGGGUUAGCGCAAGCGAAGCUCUUGAUCGAAGCCCCGGUAAACGGCGGCCGUAACUAUAACGGUCCUAAGGUAGCGAAAUUCCUUGUCGGGUAAGUUCCGACCUGCACGAAUGGCGUAACGAUGGCGGCGCUGUCUCCACCCGAGACUCAGUGAAAUUGAAAUCGCUGUGAAGAUGCAGUGUAUCCGCGGCUAGACGGAAAGACCCCGUGAACCUUUACUAUAGCUUUGCACUGGACUUUGAAUUUGCUUGUGUAGGAUAGGUGGGAGGCUUUGAAGUGGGGACGCCAGUUCUCAUGGAGCCAUCCUUGAAAUACCACCCUGGCAACUUUGAGGUUCUAACUCAGGUCCGUUAUCCGGAUCGAGGACAGUGUAUGGUGGGUAGUUUGACUGGGGCGGUCUCCUCCUAAAGUGUAACGGAGGAGCACAAAGGUUGGCUAAUCCUGGUCGGAUAUCAGGAGGUUAGUGCAAUGGCAUAAGCCAGCUUAACUGCGAGAGUGACGGCU